rnacentral:rRNA from 1 species
AAUGAACGUUGGCGGCGUGGAUUAGGCAUGCAAGUCGAGCGCGAACCCCGCAAGGGGUGAAAGCGGCGAAAGGGAGAGUAACGCGUGGGUAUCUGCCCUCGGGACUGGGAUAGCUGCGGGAAACGGCAGGUAAUACCAGAUGACGUCCCCGGACCAAAGGUGUGAUUCCGCCUGAGGAUGAGCCCGCGUUCUAUGAGCUAGUUGGUAGGGUAAUGGCCUACCAAGGCAAUGAUGGGUACUGGGUGUGAGAGCACGACCCAGCUCACUGGGCCUGAGACACUGCCCAGACACCUACGGGUGGCUGCAGUCGAGAAUCUUCGGCAAUGGGCGAAAGCCUGACCGAGCGACGCCGCGUGUGGGAUGAAGGCCUUCGGGUUGUAAACCGCUGUCAGAGGGGAGGAAUGGGCGGAGGGUAAUCUCUUCGUUUUGACCUAUCCUCAGAGGAAGUACGGGCUAAGUUCGUGCCAGCCGCCGCGGUAA